rnacentral:ncRNA from 2 species
UAACGAGAAGUAAUCGACGGUCCUCCUUAACCGGAGGCGAACAGGGAAUGCCGUGCCGCUCCCUCCAGGAGCCAAUCGGCAGCUGUACCCGCAGCUGUAAGCGGCGAGCGACUGCCCACCAUGUCACUGGAUCAGGUGAUCCGGGAAGACGGGCAGGAGCGGUGACCCGUGAGCCAGAAGACCUGCCGGCGAUAGCGUCGCUCU